UGGCCGGUCCAUGAUGUCAUUGUGAUGUUUCUUUGUUAUUGCCAGCGUGCUGUGGGCUUUGUUUAGCCGCCUUUGUGCUCUGCAGCUACGCGAGGUGUGGGGGCCCCUGGAAUGAGAAGGCAUGUUUAAGCAGACAGGGGGAGAAAAGGUCUUAAGUCAGGCUUUGAAGUCCCAUUUGGAAAGCCCAGUGAGGACUGCUUUCACAUGGGCCAGCCAGAGCCCCACCAUUCAGAGAGAAUUUGUAAGGGACUUCAGGUCCAAGAACUCAGACAAAGAUUUCUUGUUUCUAUAACCUGCCUCCUGGAAGCUUCUGAAGGGCUGUUAGUGGAACCUGAGGUGGGCAGCAGUAACAAGUGGUGAUUGAUAUCAGGCAGCUGUUCACUUUGCCUAGUUCUGAUCCAAAGUCUACUUCCAACUGAAAGGAAAAAGAAAAAGAAUUACCAAAGUCCAGUGGUAAAACAGAGUUCAGGAUGACUGGCAAUGUCCUGGAAUGAAGGGAUGACCUUGGCAUCUCUGUUUAACCAAGCUCUAGGCACUCCACAGUGCCCAUUUCAGCUGACUCCAUGGCCACUGGGACAAAUUAUUCUCAUUUGCCCAUUCCACUGGGGUGAGAGUUGAGUGCCAGGAGGAUACCAGGAGUGAACAAGCAGUGAGUACAACUGGACAGUAAAACAGUGUUCAGCUUCUUUCCAUCAAGUUCUGUCCAAGAAGUCCCCCUUUUCUCUAGGAGGAGAUGUUCAGGAUAUCCUCCUUCUAUUUGGAACCUCCUCUCUUAGAACUUCCACCAUCCAAGAACUCCUGAGAGCUUCUGCAAUCAAUUUUUUUUCAGCUGCCAUCUUUACGGCUGAGGUGGAUCCACCACUAAAGGAAUUCCUUUGUAGCUAUGGAGGAGGCAUUUCAAAGUUGCAAACAAUGUCCUCAUCCUUUAAACUUGUUAGAUUGCCUUAGUUGACUCCUGAUCAUAGUCUUUACACCUAAAGAGAGACAAAGAGUGAUAGCUAA